rnacentral:tRNA from 1 species
GGGGAUGUGUCUCAGUUGGUAGAGUACUUGCCUUGCAUGCACAAAGCCCUGGGUUCAAUCUCAGCCCCCCCC